rnacentral:rRNA from 1 species
AUGGCGACGCAGCAGAUCGUCCUCCUCCUCUUACUCCUCGCGGCACCUCAUGGCCUCGCCGUGGCCGUCAGCCCUACACCCAUCAUCAACACCACAUGCGCUGCGCUCGCCCACAGCCCCAACUUCACAUUGCACGUCGAGUACGAAUUCUGCGUGCGCUCGCUUUCAGCCGACCCGGUGGCCUCUUCCGCCACGGACGCCCGCGGGCUAGCGGCGGCCGCGGCAAGCCUUACCGUUGCCAACAUAACGUCCACGGAGCUCAUCAUUGCCGACCUCGUCAAAAAUCUGGUCAGUUGUCUCUCCGACUACAAAGAGCUUAACGACAUGGUGCGGCGCGGGCUCCACGACAUCCGCGGCGGGCGCGCCGCCAAUGCUUCCAAGAAGUUUUUAGAUGCGGCAGAGUCUGACGUUCCGUCUUUGUGCGACCUCAUCUUGAUAGAGGGAGUCGCCAAGAGGAACCCCAUAGAUCAGGAGAACCAGAACGCCUACUUCUUGUCCGUCAUGGCCUCCGAUAUUACUCAGCUGAUGCUGGAUUCUCAUGCAGGAUCACCAAAAGAUCCUAGCUGA